UACGUAGGGUGCAGGCGUUAAUCGGAAUUACUGGGCGUAAAGCGUGCGCAGGCGGUUUGCUAAGACAGGUGUGAAAUCCCCGGGCUUAACCUGGGAACUGCGCUUGUAACUGGCAAGCUGGAGUGUGGCAGAGGGGGGUGGAAUUCCAGGUGUAGCAGUGAAAUGCGUAGAGAUCGGGAGGAACACCAGUGGCGAAGGCGGCUACCUGGACCAGCACUGACACUGAGGCACGAAAGCGUGGGGAGCAAACAGG
rnacentral:rRNA from 1 species